AAAAUCAAUUCCCUUCUGCCAUUUUUGUGGUGUGCCGCAACUCCUCUCAAAACCCCUCCUCUGCCGUUCCAAAUUCCUCCCUUUUCCGACCAGAUAACGGCUAACGAGAGCGCCCAACGAAUCUCUCGACGGUGGAAUCGACGUUAUGCGGAGUUGCUGAUCGUAGGUGAAACGACGUGGGUGAUGGGCGGUUGCUGCAACGUGGGAACGUGCGGCGCUGAGGCUACCUGCUGCUUAGGGCUUCUGUUAUCUUAGGCCAAUUGGGCCUUGUAAUUGGGUUAGGUUGUAUUUUGGCCUUUGGGUCAGUUUUAGUGAGUAUAGUUGGGCCCGGGCAAUAAUUGGGUAUUACAAUUCUAAAAAUAAAAAUGAUUCAAACAAAAAAUUAAAAAUUAA